UACGUAGGGACCGAGCGUUGUCCGGAUUCAUUGGGCGUAAAGAGCGUGUAGGCGGCCAGGCAGGUCUGCUGUGAAAACUCGAGGCUCAACCUCGAGAUGUCGGCGGAAACCAUCUGGCUAGAGUCCGGAAGAGGAGAGUGGAAUUCCUGGUGUAGCGGUGAAAUGCGCAGAUAUCAGGAAGAACACCCGUGGCGAAGGCGGCUCUCUGGGACGGUACUGACGCUGAGGCGCGAAAGCGUGGGUAGCAAACGGG
rnacentral:rRNA from 1 species